rnacentral:rRNA from 1 species
CGCGAAUUCGCCUUGUGCAGCCGCCGCGGUAAUACGUAGGUGCAAGCGUUGUCCGGAAUUAUUGGGCGUAAAGAGCUCGUAGGCGGUCUGUCGCGUCGGCUGUGAAAACCCGAGGCUCAACCUCGGGCCUGCAGUCGAUACGGGCAAACUAGAGUAUUGCAGGGGAGACUGGAAUUCCUGGUGUAGCGGUGAAAUGCGCAGAUAUCAGGAGGAACACCGGUGGCGAAGGCGGKUCUCUGGGCAAUAACUGACGCUGAGGAGCGAAAGCGUGGGGAGCGAACAGGAUUAGAUACCCUGGUAGUCCACGCCGUAAACGUUGGGCGCUAGAUGUGGGGGCCAUUCCACGGUCUCCGUGUCGCAGCUAACGCAUUAAGCGCCCCGCCUGGGGAGUACGGCCGCAAGGCUAAAAACUCAAAGGAAUUGACGGGGGCCCGCACAAGCGGCGGAGCAUGUUGCUUAAUUCGAUGCAACGCGAAGAACCUUACCUAGGCUUGACAUGCACGGAAAUCCCGCAGAGAUGUGGGGUCCUUUAAAGGGUCGUGCACAGGUGGUGCAUGGUUGUCGUCAGCUCGUGUCGUGAGAUGUUGGGUUAAGUCCCGCAACGAGCGCAACCCUCGUUCUAUGUUGCCAGCACGUGAUGGUGGGAACUCAUAGGAAACUGCCGGGGUCAACUCGGAGGAAGGUGGGGAUGACGUCAAAUCAUCAUGCCCCUUAUGUCUAGGGCUGCAAACAUGCUACAAUGGCCGGUACAAAGGGCUGCGAUACCGUGAGGUGGAGCGAAUCCCAAAAAGCCGGUCUCAGUUCGGAUUGGGGUCUGCAACUCGACCCCAUGAAGUUGGAGUCGCCAGUAAUCGCAGAACAGCAACGCUGCGGUGAAUACGUUCCCGGGCCUUGUACACACCGCCCGUCACGUCACGAAAGUCGGUAACGCCCGAAGCCGGUGGCCCAACCCUUGUGGAGGGAGCCGUCGAAGGCGGGAUCGGCGAUUGGGACGAAGUCGUAACAAGGUAACCAAGGCGAAUUC